rnacentral:rRNA from 1 species
GAUGAACGCUAGCUACAGGCUUAACACAUGCAAGUCGAGGGGAAACGGCAUUGAGUGCUUGCACUCUUUGGACGUCGACCGGCGCACGGGUGAGUAACGCGUAUCCACCUUCCCAUUACUGUGGGAUAACCUGCCGAAAGGCAGACUAAUACCGCAUAGUCUUCGAUGACGGCAUCAGAUUUGAAGUAAAGAUUUAUCGGUAAUGGAUGGGGAUGCGUCUGAUUAGCUUGUUGGCGGGGUAACGGCCCACCAAGGCUACGAUCAGUAGGGGUUCUGAGAGGAAGGUCCCCCACAUUGGAACUGAGACACUGUCCAAACUCCUACGGGAGGCAGCAGUGAGGAAUAUUGGUCAAUGGACGGAAGUCUGAACCAUGCAAGUAGCGUGCAGGAUGACGGCCCUAUGGGUUGUAAACUGCUUUUGUUUGGGGAUAAAGUUAGGGACGUGUCCCUAUUUGCAGGUACCAUACUAAUAAGGACCGGCUGAUUCCGUGCCAGCAGUCUCGUUAAUUGGGAAGGUCUUGGUGUUAUCCGGAUUUAUUGGGUUUUAUUGAGCGUAUGUUGGUGAUUAAGUGUGUUUUGAAAUGUAGACUUUUUCUUCUGAUUUGGUUCUUACUGUGUUUCCUUUAUUAUGCUGAACUUUGGCUGAUUUGUCUUGUACUGUUGAAAUGUCUUAUAAAUGAGAAGAAUGUCCAUGUGUGAUGUGAGUUUGACUGUUGUCGUGAUUGUGGCGUUGCUGGUAGUGGCGGUUUGUAACAGGGUUAAAUGCCUGGGGGAGUCUGUGGGCUGAUUGCAUGUGGGUGUGUGGGCUUUUGUGAUGCCCCUCUUGUGUUUGAAAAAUGCAUGUGUAUUUUGUUGUGUGUUCUGUGUGUUAGGGUUUUUAGUGGUUUGGUGA